rnacentral:rRNA from 1 species
AGCAGCCGCGGUAAUUCCAGCUCCAAUAGCGUAUAUUAAAGUUGUUGCAGUUAAAAAGCUCGUAGUUGAAUUUCGGGGUCAGCAAGUUGGUCGUGCCACUGGUAUGUACUGGCUUUGCUGAUUCCUCCUUCUUGUAGAACCGUAAUGCCAUUAAGUUGGUGUUGCGGGAAAACAGGACUGUUACUUUGAAAAAAUUAGAGUGUUUAAAGCAGGCUAACGCUUGAAUACAUUAGCAUGGAAUAAUGAAAUAGGACGACGAUCCUAUUUUGUUGGUUUCUAGGAUUGACGUAAUGAUUAAUAGGGAUAGUUGGGGGCAUUAGUAUUCAAUUGUCAGAGGUGAAAUUCUUGGAUUUAUUGAAGACUGACUACUGCGAAAGCAUUUGCCAAGGAUGUUUUCAUUAAUCAAGAACGAAAGUUAGGGGAUCGAAGACGAUCAGAUACCGUCGUAGUCUUAACCAUAAACUAUGCCGAUUAGGGAUCUGAUGAUGUUAAUUUUUUAAUGACUCA